rnacentral:rRNA from 1 species
CCCUUAGAUGUUCUGGGCUGCACGCGCGCUACACUGAAGCGUUCAACGAGUAUUUCACCUUGCCCGGGAGGGUUGGGUAAUCUUUUUAAAACGCUUCGUGAUGGGGAUAGAUUAUUGCAAUUAUUAAUCUUCAACGAGGAAUUCCUAGUAAGCGCGAGUCAUCAGCUCGUGCUGAUUACGUCCCUGCCCUUUGUACACACCGCCCGUCGCACCUACCGAUUGAAUGGUCCGGUGAAAUCUCCGGACUGGCGUGAGUCGGAGCAAUCUGACAAACACCGGAAAGUUGAUUAAACCUUACCAUUUAGAGGAAGGUGAAGUCGUAACA